UGUUUUUUUUUUUUUUUUUUCAUGUGCCUGUUUCGAUAAAGGAUAUGGCUGGGAGGAGGCUGAAGGCACUCAGUCUGGCCAGAACAGUUGUCUGAGGUUACCGGGACCACUCAGAUCACCACCUUCUGUCCUAAAUAGACUUGCUCCAUUCUCAGGCACCGGUAUCUAACUUUUAAAUGAAUCCUUCAAGGAGGAAAAUCAAGGUACAUACAUAUACUUUCAGUUCUGAAUGGGGAAAAUGUCCUCUAAUUGUAGUCAUAAAUGUGGAGAAAUAAUUUCAUUCACUUCAGUUUUCUAAAAGCAG